UGUGCUCCUCCGUUGGGAUAAAUAGUGAAUUCCAGGACAUCUAGGAUAAACUUACAAAGCGUGGUGGUACAUGCCAUUAUCCCAGCACUGGGGAGGCAAAGGAAGAUGGAUCUGAGUUCAGGACCAGUCUGCUAUACAUAGUGAACUCCAGGACAGCCAGGACUAAAUAGUGAGACCCUUUCUCCAAAAGGAAAGAGGGUGAGGCUGAACAGAUGCCUAAGCGUGCAUGCUGGUCUGCAGAGGGCUGGCGUUCAGUUCCCAGCGCCUGUGUUGGGUGACUCACAACCACCUGUAACUUCAACUCCAAGGGAUUCCACAUCUUCCUUUGGCUUCCAUGGGCAUCGAGAAACAAAUGGUAUACACGUUCAUACACAUAAAUAAUUUUUUUAUUUCAAAAAGGUCAUUCCAUAAUCAUUUAUAUCCAGUCUAGACCAUCACAUAUAAACCACUUAGCCAAUAUCACAGAUCUUUGGGAUGGUAUAUAUCUUAGCAUCCAAAUCACAUAUAAACCACUUAAAAACAACUUGACUCCUGCUCACAGUGACUGGGGAGUGGUCGCUCUAAGUGUGGUCGGCACAGCUGCUCACACCAACUGUCCUCUGGAGUUCAGGGUCAUUGUCCACAUCGAUUUGUGCCCUUGGGCUUGCUUUCUGUUCUUAGAGCUGAUGAGUUCUCAUUGAACCCACAGUGCUGUUUGGAGAGAGAGGUACUGGGUGGUCCCAGAACCCCCAAGGCAGCUGCGGUGGAGGGGUCCUGGUGGGCCCCCAUGUUGCUAUCCUCGUCUGCCUCUUGUUGCAGGGCCCCGUGAAGCACGUGUACAGGGUCCUGCAGUGUCAAGAGGAAGAGCUCACUCAGAUGGUCUCCACCAUGUCUGACGGCUGGAAAUUCGAACAGCUGAUCAGCAUUGGCUCCUCCUAUAACUAUGGAAAUGAAGACCAGGCAGAAUUCCUCUGUGUUGUCUCCAGAGAACUAAAUAAUUCUACCAACGGCAUCGUCAUAGAGCCAAGCGAAAAGGCCAAGAUUCUUCAGGAGAGAGGCUCACGGAUGUAAACGGAGGAUCUGAAGUUCCAGAACCCUGAAGGCAAGAGAGCGAUCGACUGAGCAGCUGUGAAGGGAAUCCUGCACCUGUACAGUAACUGAGCUACUGCAGAGCCAAGCUGCAAAGCCUGGUCCCAGAGAAGUGGUGUCCGCUGAGACCAGAGGAGCCCACCCGCCUCGGACCGAGACGACAGUCCGCCUCUGGCUGCACGGCCCCUUUUCAGAAUCCUACUUUUGUUUUCUAGCCAGUGUUAUGACAGACCUUCACAACAGCAUCUAGGAUGGGUCCCUGGCUGGAGCCUUGUGGGGAGCUGGGGGGAAAGGAGGAAGGCCUAGCUCUCUGAAAACAGUCCAAGGAAGCUAGAACAGAGGAAGGAGGCUUGUCCUGAGCUGUGCCCUGAUCUCAGCCUGCGUGCGCCGGGAUGGAUGCUGGCAGCUGCCAUGACCAUUCUUCCCUGACUGAGGCAUUCUUUGAAGUUGCUGGGAUGCAGGGGAUUCCAGCCUUAGCGUGCUGAGUCGAGGUUUGGGGUACAGAAUGGAGUUGCCAGAGGACCCGCAAUCCUAUGAACAGAGCCCCAGAGGCAGGAGGAUGAGGUGUCCUGUGCUGUGCUUGGAGGGACUGGUUGCUGUUCCUGGUUCUGAGCACUGGCCUGUCCCUGCGAGUAGCUUCACCUGGUGUCUGUCCCCAGUGGGGCCCGCAUGGCCCAGCCUCAGGCAGGAGCUUAGAGGCUGUAGCAUCCUGAGCAGCGCUGGGCGGACGAUGGCCUAAGCGGUUGCCGUAACCGUAUCUGCAUUCUUACCUGGUUGGCCCCGUCUUCCUCCCCCAGCUUCUUGAACUGGACCAAAGAAAAAGGACUUUGUGGACCCUCUGUAUGGCUUGGGGUGAGGAAGGCUGUUUCUGUGGAAGCUGCCAAAUGUGUCAUGUUGUCAUAGCUAAACGUGGUGGUGUUUUUGUGAUUGUCUAUUGAACAUGCACUGACUGAUCGGA